rnacentral:rRNA from 1 species
CCCUUAGAUGUCCUGGGCCGCACGCGCGUUACACUGAUGCAUUCAACGAGCUUAUAACCUUGGCCGAGAGGCCUGGGCAAUCUUGUUAACGUGCAUCGUGAUAGGGAUAGAUUAUUGAAAUUAUUAAUCUUGAACGAGGAAUUCCUAGUAAACGCAGAUCAUCAAUCUGCAUUGAAUACGACCCUGUAUUCUGUACACACCGCCCGUCGCUCCUACCGAUUGAAGUUUUCGGUGAGUUGACAGGAGGAUUUUUUUGAAACUGGUUCGCCAGUGGAUUUUAGAUCCAAAUGCCAACGAAUCGAUGGCUUUAGAGGAAGGAGAAGUCGUAACA